UACGAAGGUGGCAAGCGUUGUUCGGAUUCACUGGGCGUACAGGGUGUGUAGGCGGUUUGGUAAGCCUUCUGUUAAAGCUUCGGGCCCAACCCGGAAAGCGCAGAGGGUACUGCCAGACCAGAGGGCGGGAGAGGAGCGCGGAAUUCCCGGUGUAGCGGUGAAAUGCGUAGAGAUCGGGAGGAACACCAGCGGCGAAGGCGGCGACCUGGGUAGAUACUGACGCUGAGGUGCGAAAGCGUGGGGAGCAAACGGG
rnacentral:rRNA from 1 species